GGGGGAGUGUCGGAAUUGGCAGACGAGCUUGACUUAGGAUCAAGUGCUUUUAAGCGUGUGGGUUCGAGUCCCACCUUCCCCA
rnacentral:tRNA from 1 species